GACGAACGCUGGCGGCGUGCUUAACACAUGCAAGUCGAACGGAAAGGCCCUGCUUUUGUGGGGUGCUCGAGUGGCGAACGGGUGAGUAACACGUGAGUAACCUGCCCUUGACUUUGGGAUAACUUCAGGAAACUGGGGCUAAUACCGGAUAGGAGCUCCUGCUGCAUGGUGGGGGUUGGAAAGUUUCGGCGGUUGGGGAUGGACUCGCGGCUUAUCAGCUUGUUGGUGGGGUAGUGGCUUACCAAGGCUUUGACGGGUAGCCGGCCUGGGAGGGUGACCGGCCACAUUGGGACUGAGAUACGGCCCAGACUGCUACGGGAGGCAGCAGUGGGGAAUAUUGCACAAUGGGCGGAAGCCUGAUGCAGCAACGCCGCGUGCGGGAUGACGGCUUUCGGGUUGUAAACCGCUUUCGCCUGUGACGAAGCGUGAGUGACGGUAAUGGGUAAAGAAGCACCGGCUAACUACGUG
rnacentral:rRNA from 1 species